ACUCUGGAGACAGAGCUUUCCCUUCGGGGACAAAGUGACAGGUGGUGCAUGGUUGUCGUCAGCUCGUGUCGUGAGAUGUUGGGUUAAGUCCCGCAACGAGCGCAACCCUUGAUUUUAGUUGCCAGCAUUUAGUUGGGCACUCUAAAGUGACUGCCGGUGCAAGCCGGAGGAAGGUGGGGAUGACGUCAAAUCAUCAUGCCCCUUAUGACCUGGGCUACACACGUGCUACAAUGGAUAGUACAAAGGGUCGCGAAGCCGCGAGGUGGAGCUAAUCCCAUAAAACUAUUCUCAGUUCGGAUUGUAGGCUGCAACUCGCCUACAUGAAGCCGGAAUCGCUAGUAAUCGUGGAUCAGCAUGCCACGGUGAAUACGUUCCCGGGCCUUGUACACACCGCCCGUCACACCACGAGAGUUUGUAACACCCGAAGUCGGUAGGGUAACCUUUAUGGAGCCAGCCGCCGAAGGUGGGACAGAUAAUUGGGGUGAAGUCGUAACAAGGUAGCCGUAUCGGAAGGUGCGGCUGGAUCACCUCCUUUCUAAGGAA
rnacentral:rRNA from 1 species